GAUGGAGGCCUAGCAGGUCUGCUAGAUCGACAGUGGCCUUCAUGAACUCCUGUGUUGGAUACAUGAGAAGGUUAAUGAUAACAGGCCAAGGACCCAAGAGACAGGGCAGAGGGACCUCUAUUAUUGUGUAAUAAAAUUGUGUUGCUCAUUAAACUGGACCAACAACACUAUGUAUUCAGGCAGAAAACAUAACUAUAACCUACUAAGUAAAUUUAAUGUCAAUAAUUCAGAUUCCCCACUGAAGAGUGUUUUUGUAAUCAUUCUUUCGGAAGGGCUUUGUGGACCCUCUGUUGAACAUAACUAGUUUACACAAAACAUAUUGAAAUUAAAAUAUUUUGGAUUAUCUGA